GGGUCAGUAGGCUGGUCGUGCCACCGGUACGUACUGGUCUCACUGAUUCCUCCUUCCUGAAGAACCGUAAUGCCACUAAUUUGGUGUUGCGGGGAAACAGGACUGUUACUUUGAAGAAAUUAGAGUGUUUAAAGCAAGCUAACGCUUGAAUACAUUAGCAUGGAAUAAUGAAAUAGGACGAUCGAUCCUAUUUUGCUGGUUUCUAGGAUUGACGUA
rnacentral:rRNA from 1 species